rnacentral:rRNA from 1 species
CAAUAGCGUAUAUUAAAGUUGUUGCAGUUAAAAAGCUCGUAGUUGGAUUUCUGGCAGGAGCGACCGGUCACACACUCUGUGUGUGAACUUGUGUUGUCUCUGGCCAUCCUUGGGGAGAUCCUGUUUGGCAUUAAGUUGUCGGGCAGGGGACAUCCAUCGUUUACUGUGAAAAAAUUAGAGUGUUUAAAGCAGGCUUAUGCCGUUGAAUAUAUUAGCAUGGAAUAAUAAGAUAGGACUUCGGAACUAUUUUGUUGGUUUGCGUUACGAAGUAAUGAUUAAUAGGGACAGUUGGGGGUAUUCGUAUUUCGUUGUCAGAGGUGAAAUUCUUGGAUUUCCGAAAGACGAACUACUGCGAAAGCAUUUACCAAGGAUGUUUNCAUUAA